GACGAACGCUGGCGGCGUGCCUAAUACAUGCAAGUAGAACGCUGAAGAGAGGAGCUUGCUCUUCUUGGAUGAGUUGCGAACGGGUGAGUAACGCGUAGGUAACCUGCCUUGUAGCGGGGGAUAACUAUUGGAAACGAUAGCUAAUACCGCAUAACAAUGGAUGACACAUGUCAUUUAUUUGAAAGGGGCAAUUGCUCCACUACAAGAUGGACCUGCGUUGUAUUAGCUAGUAGGUGAGGUAACGGCUCACCUAGGCGACGAUACAUAGCCGACCUGAGAGGGUGAUCGGCCACACUGGGACUGAGACACGGCCCAGACUCCUACGGGAGGUAGCAGUAGGGAAUCUUCGGCAAUGGGGGCAACCCUGACCGAGCAACGCCGCGUGAGUGAAGAAGGUUUUCGGAUCGUAAAGCUUUGUUGUAAGUCAAGAACGAGUGUGAGAGUGGAAAGUUCACACUGUGACGGUAGCUUACCAGAAAGGGACGGCUAACUACGUGCCAGCAGCCGCGGUAAUACGUAGGUCCCGAGCGUUGUCCGGAUUUAUUGGGCGUAAAGCGAGCGCAGGCGGUUUGAUAAGUCUGAAGUUAAAGGCUGUGGCUCAACCAUAGUUCGCUUUGGAAACUGUCAAACUUGAGUGCAGAAGGGGAGAGUGGAAUUCCAUGUGUAGCGGUGAAAUGCGUAGAUAUAUGGAGGAACACCGGUGGCGAAAGCGGCUCUCUGGUCUGUAACUGACGCUGAGGCUCGAAAGCGUGGGGAGCGAACAGGAUUAGAUACCCUGGUAGUCCACGCCGUAAACGAUGAGUGCUAGGUGUUGGAUCCUUUCCGGGAUUCAGUGCCGCAGCUAACGCAUUAAGCACUCCGCCUGGGGAGUACGACCGCAAGGUUGAAACUCAAAGGAAUUGACGGGGGCCCGCACAAGCGGUGGAGCAUGUGGUUUAAUUCGAAGCAACGCGAAGAACCUUACCAGGUCUUGACAUCCCGAUGCUAUUUCUAGAGAUAGAAAGUUACUUCGGUACAUCGGUGACAGGUGGUGCAUGGUUGUCGUCAGCUCGUGUCGUGAGAUGUUGGGUUAAGUCCCGCAACGAGCGCAACCCCUAUUGUUAGUUGCCAUCAUUCAGUUGGGCACUCUAGCGAGACUGCCGGUAAUAAACCGGAGGAAGGUGGGGAUGACGUCAAAUCAUCAUGCCCCUUAUGACCUGGGCUACACACGUGCUACAAUGGUUGGUACAACGAGUUGCGAGUCGGUGACGGCAAGCUAAUCUCUUAAAGCCAAUCUCAGUUCGGAUUGUAGGCUGCAACUCGCCUACAUGAAGUCGGAAUCGCUAGUAAUCGCGGAUCAGCACGCCGCGGUGAAUACGUUCCCGGGCCU
rnacentral:rRNA from 1 species